AAUUCAAUGUGAUGAAUAUAUUUUUUAAACAGUUAUCCCUGUCAUAAGAAAUUUUGAUGAAAACUUGUUUUCUGAAAGAAAA